rnacentral:rRNA from 1 species
GAGCGGCCGAUAUCAGAUUAGCUUGUUGGCGAGGUAAGAGCCCACCAAGGCGACGAUCUGUAGCUGGUCUGAGAGGACGACCAGCCACACUGGGACUGAGACACGGCCCAGACUCCUACGGGAGGCAGCAGUGGGGAAUUUUGGACAAUGGGCGCAAGCCUGAUCCAGCCAUGCCGCGUGCGGGAAGAAGGCCUUCGGGUUGUAAACCGCUUUUGUCAGGGAAGAAACGGCUCUUACUAAUAUUAGGAGCUAAUGACGGUACCUGAAGAAUAAGCACCGGCUAACUACGUGCCAGCAGCCGCGGUAAUACGUAGGGUGCAAGCGUUAAUCGGAAUUACUGGGCGUAAAGCGUGCGCAGGCGGCUUUGCAAGACAGAUGUGAAAUCCCCGGGCUCAACCUGGGAACUGCAUUUGUGACUGCAUGGCUAGAGUACGGUAGAGGGGGAUGGAAUUCCGCGUGUAGCAGUGAAAUGCGUAGAUAUGCGGAGG